CCCCUGUAGGCAGCAGCCACUAGCUACACAGGAACCAUAUCUGUAUAUCAGAGAUGUACAAUAAAGCCUACUGAAUACUACAGACAGCCAUCUUUUCAGGCAUACCUUAACCAGAAGUUCAUGAAAACAUUGCACAGAUGGAGAUACCUCCAGAAGACUCCUUCACUGAGCUGUGGGAGUGUCAAUUUAGGAAAUUGGGAGUAUCAUGCAGGUGAAGAACAACGACAGAACAGAUGACACUUCUAAGACAUGUACAGUGUGUGCAUCACCAGGAGAGCUGUGCAUGGAAUGUUCUUAUAUAGAAUAAUGAAACUCACUCUUAAUCAAAUAAUUACAUUGGUGUGUGAGGUUGCCUAGAAUAUGAAUGCAGCAAGCCAAGAGAUCUGUCUUGGUAUAAAAUCUCAGGAGACCUCACUGUCAAGAGACCGGUUGCUCUUUCCCAGACAAGAAUCACAGAGCUGGAGCUGAGGCAGACCACAGAGCUCUGGCUGCAGGCCCCAUCACCAGAAUUCCUCUGGCAGAUGAUGCUCAGGAAACCUGCACAGAAGCCUGAAGGGCUAGAGCUUAACCCACCCUCAGAGGUGGUGACUUGGAGCCUGAGAUUGUGAAAGGAUCACAUUUGCAGCUCCUGAAGAAACAUAUUAAAUACAUCUUUCCAAGAUAAUUUGUAUAUGUAUGUCAAAAUAAUAUGAGGAAUGAUGCCUUCAGCUGUCCUCACUUAAGUAGUUGGGGUUUUUUAAGAAAAGUGAAUAAUCAAAUGUUCUGAAAUCUUUUCCGAAGAUCUCAUCUCCAUGAUUUUCCUGUAUUCAUUAAAGAGUUACAAACAGAAUGGCAACUGCUAACUAGGGCUAUUUGGUAAUUUGAAAAAGUAACUUGAGUAUCAUCCUUUGAAUAAGGACAAUAGAUUCUUUAGAUAAUUGCCUAUGUAAGGUACAUCUGUAUUUUGUAAGCACUAUUGAUGCUGUGCAGUUAUUGCACUCCUUUGCUUUGAUUUAGUGCUCAUCUUGAAACCAGCCAAGUCUAUUUCAAGAGACAGUAUCUUGUGAACAGUGAUCAAAGUGUAAAUUUAUGCAAAUUCAAUGCUUCACCUUAAUUACCUUGAUGGUGCUUGUCAG
rnacentral:lncRNA from 1 species